rnacentral:lncRNA from 1 species
UCGGCGGAGAUGCUCGGCGAUACGCCGGAGCUCUCGGGCUGGUAGAGCGUGACCUAGGGUUUCCUACAGCACCAGUGAACUAUGGCGAAGCUUUCUAGGUAGGUGACUAGGCUUGGAACGGUGUGGAACGGGGUGGCCACGAGAGGACCGAACUCCAGCGGAAACACGGUGGCGCAAACGCUAGCUAAGGUGCUAACCUACCUCUAGAACCUAACCAGAGAAGACGAGAUGCUCCGAGGAGCUCUGCAUUGGGCUCGCAAGUGUCAACAAGCAUUUUUGGCGCCGUUGCCGGGGAGACGGUUGUUGAGUUGACUACGAACUAGCUUAAUCAUUUUCAAAAAAAUAAAA